rnacentral:lncRNA from 1 species
GAGAUGGUUCUGAUGGAGAUUCAGCUGCUUGUGCAUCUCUUGCCACUAUCGCGCAAAGUUCCUUUUAUGGUAGAUGAUGAGCCUUUGAAAGAAUGGUACUAUAAGAACAACUAAAAGCACAAAAAUCAAAACUUUUUGUAUAAAACCAGUGAGAGAAGCUAUAGCUAGUAUAGAUAUAUAGAUGUGAAAUUGAGUAAUCUGUAUAACGUAUGAAGAUAUGCAAUGGCGAUAGUGAGUUCAUUUGUGUAAUAACUAAUAAUACACAGGAAAUAACAUCAAAAAAGGAACUCUUCCUUUACAAAUUCGGCUGAUGAGUUACCUCCGAUCAGCCAACUCAACCAACCACUGGUCUCCGUCGUGAUCGAGAACCAGCGGGAUGUAUUCCGGCGAAGCCCACCUGAAGGGCGUGACAGAGUGAAGUCA